ACCCAGACUCCUACGGGAGGCAGCAGUGGGGGAUAUUGCACAAUGGGGGAAACCCUGAUGCAGCGACGCCGCGUGGGCGAAGAAGUAUUUCGGUAUGUAAAGCCCUAUCAGCAGGGAAGAAGAAAUGACGGUACCUGAGUAAGAAGCACCGGCUAAAUACGUGCCAGCAGCCGCGGUAAUACGUAUGGUGCAAGCGUUAUCCGGAUUUACUGGGUGUAAAGGGAGCGCAGGCGGCACGGCAAGCCUGAUGUGAAAGCCCGCGGCCCAACCGCGGGACUGCAUUGGGAACUACCGGGCUGGAGUGCAGGAGGGGCAGGCGGAAUUCCUGGUGUAGUGGUGAAAUGCGUAGAUAUCAGGAGGAACACCGGUGGCGAAGGCGGCCUGCUGGACUGCAACUGACGUUGAGACCCGAAAGCGUGGGGAGCAAACAGGAUUAGAUACCCUCGUACU
rnacentral:rRNA from 1 species